AAGUCGUAACAAGGUUUCCGUAGGUGAACCUGCGGAAGGAUCAUUACCUAGAGUUUGUAGACUUCGGUCUGCUACCUCUUACCCAUGUCUUUUGAGUACCUUCGUUUCCUCGGCGGGUCCGCCCGCCGAUUGGACAACAUUCAAACCCUUUGCAGUUGCAAUCAGCGUCUGAAAAAACAUAAUAGUUACAACUUUCAACAACGGAUCUCUUGGUUCUG
rnacentral:misc_RNA from 3 species